rnacentral:rRNA from 1 species
AUUGAACGCUGGCGGCAGGCCUAACACAUGCAAGUCGAACGAGUGGCGGACGGGUGAGUAAUGUCUGGGAAACUGCCUGAUGGCGGGGGAUAACUACUGGAAACGGUAGCUAAUACCGCAUACCAUCGAAUGUGCCCACAUGGGAUUAGCUGGUUGGUGGGGUAACGGCUCACCAAGGCGACGAUCCCGAGCUGGUCUGAGAGGAUGACCAGCCACACUGGAACUGAGACACGGUCCAGACUCCUACGGGAGGCAGCAGUGGGGAAUAUUGCACAAUGGGCGCAAGCCUGAUGCAGCCAUGCCGCGGGUAUGAAGAAGGCCUUCGGGUUGUAAAGCACGUUCAGCGGGGAGGCGUUACCCGCAGAAGAAGCACCGGCUAACUCCGUGCCAGCCGCCGCGGUAAUAC